rnacentral:lncRNA from 1 species
UUUUCAAAAAUAAACAAUUACGGGAUAAAUUCAUAUUCUCCAUGCACAAAUUAAUUGUGAUGGAAACAGUAAUAAAUGCUGAAGGAAUGUGAGGCAAGCUUCUUUUAAAUGCUGACCAUGAAAUAGUUUUGUUCCUUGCUUGAAACUACUUCAUGCUAGAAACGUUUAUGAAAACAGCAUAAACAUUAUUGCAUUUACUUACUCCUUUGCUUAAAAUAUAGGGUCUUUUAUUUCUAAAUAUUUGUAACUUUUUCUAGUUAUCCAUUUCCUGAAAGGAAAUAUUAUCAUAGUAAAUAUAUUUGUUGAAACUCUAAUAAUGCUACAUAGAAUUUUUGAAGAAUAUAUAUGAGUUAGCAAUAUUCAAUUGCAAUGCAGUUAUAUCCUGAUAAAAAAUACUUUUAAAAGUACUCACCUUGUGGCAGACUCAAUAGCUUCUCAUCGUUUCAAGAAUAAGUACAAGGAAUAAUUCCAGAAAUUUCUAUUUUUCACUAAAAGAAAAAAAUAAUUAGCUUAUGCCUAGUCAAAAUUAGUCGUUAAUUCAACAUGUAACGUAAUACUUGUGUAAAAAAGAAAAAGGAAAACCAGACUGUCAUAUCUUCAGAUAAUCCCAUGAUGAAUAUUAAACUUUAUUAACAUGAACAAGAAAUACACCCAUCAACAGUAGUGCUUAUUAAUUACAUAAGAAUCAUUUGCUAAUUUUGUUGUAAGUUACAGCAUUUGAUCUACAGUUUGUGUAUUUGCGUGUGUGUGUGUAUGUAUUAUAAACACACUUUAUGCAUAUGUGUGAUGUAUAGGUAAUUCAAAUUUAUACAUUAUUGGAAAUAUGAAAUAUAGUUUCUUUUUAUAAAUGGAAUUGUAUUACCCAAGUUUUUCACUUACCAGUCCCAACACUAACAAGGGAGCUUCCAAGUGGUCACUUGACCUACUAGGAAUAACAACCAAAUUCCUUCAACUCUUACCCUACCAUCUUAAAACAGUAAUGUAAUCCUGGAUAUAAAAUGACAAGAUAGUCAAGGCUGGAAUGCCUUGUAACUUGUUGAGGGCUGACCAACCUUGGGUUAAAUAACUGGUAUCUGCUGGAAACAUAAAGAAAAAUAAACUUAUAUUGAUUCAUGACUCAAUUAAAACAGUUCAUGUCAAAUCUACAGGAUUGAAAGAUCUUUAAACUAAUGCAUAAAAAUAAUGUAACUGCUAUUCAAAAACAUAGCAACAACAGAUGGGGAAACAGACCAAUUUAAUAGACAAAACAAAAUGAAUUUCAAGUUUAAUGGUGCAUGCAAUAUAUAUAUAUAUAUACACACACCACACACACACAUAUAUAUAUAUAUAUUCAUAUGUGUGUAUACAUGUAUGUGUGUGUAUAAACUUUUAUUUUCUUCCCCAUCAAUUCCUGUAAGAUUUGGCAUUUAUCCCUCCCUACUUUCAGAAACUUCCAUUUGUAGCUAAAGAUUUCAACCAAAAUAGAAUUGCUAGCCCCUUCCCAAAUUUUUAUAUUACUACCACCUCAGUCUUAUGCAUGGAAAUAGGCAAUUUAUGUAUGUAUGAGUGUGAGUUUAUUUUUUACCUUUCAUAACUGGUAAAUAGCGUAUUUGUUGCUACAGUUCAAUUAUAUGUUUUCCUUGCCCAAAGUGUCACUUACCCAAGAGGUAGCCCAAUUAAAUACCAGCCCGCGCCCAGCUUGAUGUCGCUUAACUAUGGUGUUACAAGGAAAAAAAAAUUUAAUAAACUGUAAUAAAAAUGUUCUGGUAUUUAGUGUUACCAUUUGCUACUAAAUAUGGUUGUUACCAUUGCCAUUACAUGUGGUAAGGAAGAACGUGUCUGUUUUUAACAACUUGGAACACAAACAUGGUUGAAAAGGAAGAAAGAAUAUGCAGAAAAAAAUAACAAUAACACCAACAGAAAUGGACUAAAUGCACAUAUAGGCAUUUGUAAUAUUUUUUCCUUUUUUUUUCUUUCUUUCGUCUUUCCCUAAAUUCUGAAUGGCACAAGAUCCAGAUGAUAGGUUGGGUGGAGAAAAUGUGUUAAGUACUAAGUUCUGGUAUGAUUUCUGGAACAAGCCAUAUCCAUUCCAUCUUCCUAUUGUGCUCCUUUCCCAUUUUCAGCAAAUUACAAAAAUAGGAUUAAAAGACUUUUCCUAUUUUAAGUUUUUUUUAAUUAUUUAUUUAUUUAUAUGAACCAUUGCUUUUGAAAAAGAAAACAAAAAUUUGCAGGAAAAUAUUUCUUGCUUCAAUAAAAUAGAAAUGUGUUCUUAAUAAUUUAAGGGAUUAUUUUAAAAUGAGCUUAAAAAAAAUGUUUUUUUUACUUAUCAUCACCAUCGUCAUCAUCAUUAUUAUUAUCAUCAUCAAAAUGAUUUCUAUUAGCUGCAAUUUUGAAUUUUGUUGUAGAUAGAUUAUGGGAUCAUUACAAAGAUUUUUUUAAAUAGUAGCAAAAUUAAGGUAAAUUUAUUGCUUUAUUG